rnacentral:rRNA from 1 species
GUCCACGCCCUAAACGAUGUCAACUGGUUGUCGGGGAAGUAAUUCCUUGGUAACGAAGCUAACGCGUGAAGUUGACCGCCUGGGGAGUACGGCCGCAAGGUUAAAACUCAAAGGAAUUGACGGGGACCCGCACAAGCGGUGGAUUAUGUGGAUUAAUUCGAUGCAACGCGAAAACCUUACCUACCCUUGACAUGUCAGGAAGCCUGCAGAGAUGCAGGGGUGCCCGAAAGGGAACCUGAACACAGGUGCUGCAUGGCUGUCGU